UACGAAGGGGGCUAGCGUUGCUCGGAAUGACUGGGCGUAAAGGGCGCGUAGGCGGAGUGCUUUGUCAGGCGUGAAAUUCCAGGGCUUAACCUUGGGGCUGCGUUUGAGACGGGCAUUCUUGAGUAUGGAAGAGGGUCGUGGAAUUCCCAGUGUAGAGGUGAAAUUCGUAGAUAUUGGGAAGAACACCGGUGGCGAAGGCGGCGACCUGGUCCAUGACUGACGCUGAGGCGCGAAAGCGUGGGGAACAAACAGG
rnacentral:rRNA from 1 species